AUGAUUGCUUUCAGGGACACCUUGGAGGUGUGUGGAUUGGUUGACCUGGGAUUUAUAGGUGUUCCUUUAACCUAUGACAACUUGUGUGGUGGACAAAGCAGUGUACGAGUCAGAUUGGACAGGGCUGUAGCAACUAAUACUUGGAGGAACAUGUUUGCCUUUGCUUCAGUCCGGCAUGUGCCGUCGCCAUGCUCGGAUCACGUUGCCCUUGUUUUGAAAGGGGAGGCCGAAGAACAAAAAGUUGCUGGAGGUUGUCGACAUUAUGAGUUGUUCUUGGAGAGAGAUCCUGCAUUACCAGAAGUUGUAAAGGAGGCCUGGGAUUCCAUUGGUGCAAUUGGAAACAUGGCGGAAUUACAACUUGCACUAGGUAAAACUAUGGCAGCCCAAAGAUCUUGGGGCAAAAAGUUUGGUAAUGUAACAAGGGAGCUUGCAAAAUCUCGAUGA
rnacentral:rRNA from 1 species